AGGGGUGUAGCUCAGAGGAAGAGCAUCCGCCUUACAAGCGGGAGGUCAAGAUUUCGAAAUUCUUUACCCCUACCA
rnacentral:tRNA from 1 species